UUCUCCUUUGCUCUCUUUAUAGAAAUGAUUGUAUCAAUUUAAGAAUGUUAUUCUUCCACACUUAAGAAUUAGUUUCACAAGUUCCUCCAAAGGUUUGGCUAGAUAUUUCUUUGUUAUUACAUUUAAUGCACAGAUUAAUUUGUAGGGAAAUUUGUAGUGUUACAUUAUAAUGCUAAGUUGUCUCAUCCAUUAACUUAUCACUUGAUUUUCUUCAGGUCUUCUUUAAUUAACUUCUAACAGAAUUUUAAAUUUUGGCCCUAAAGGCUAUGUGCAUUCUCAGUGAGACUAAUUUCUAGAUAAUUUAUAGAUUUUUGUUUUAUGUAAAUGGUAUUGAAUUUUCUACUAUGUUUUAUUUAUUGAUUAAAGAUUGUGUAAAGUAGUGAUUCUCAGUCUACUUGAAAAUAAGUUAUUCGGGCAGCUUUUAAAAGAUAAGGAUGCUUCGAUCAUCUUCCUGAUCAAUUCAAUCAGAAUUGAGUCUACAUUAACUUUAUACACAGUUGACCCUUGAACAGCACAACAGGACUGCAGUUGUGCACUUCUAUGUAGAUUCUGUUCAACAAAGCACCGAUGGAAAAUACAGCAUUUACAAGAUGAGAAACCCGAGUACACAGAGGAUCAAUCUUUGGUAUAACACGAGUUCCACAAGGCUAACUGUGGCAUUUGGGUAUGUAAGGAUUUUGUUAUACGCAAGGGACCUGACGCCAAUCCUGUACAUAUACCAAGGGAUGACUGUAUAAUCUAUUGUUUAUUACCUAAUCCCUUCACUUUUGAUACUCAGCGAGGUUAAGAAUGUCUUGUCCAAAACCACUUAGUUGAUAAUAAAGAGGCUAAAAACCCAAAUCCCUUACCCAACUACUAGAGCAGUACUUUUUCCUCUUUCUCAACCAUUCAGAGCUCACAUUGAAUGAUUUCAUAUUAUCCUGACUACUUGACAGUUCAGUUCUUCCUCUUCUAGGCAUUUGACCAAUUCCACCCAAUCCUGUUCCAUUUUUGUUUGAUGUGGGUGGAACAGGUGUAGGGGUAUCAAUGGCAGUUUACAGAACUCUCUCCCUUGAGAACAUUUUAAUGAUAUUAUAAAAAUUAAUUUACUUUAAAGUAUGAGCACAGUUAGCCCCAUGACAUUAAACUUUUUUAUUAAAAUAAAGUGUUUUAUUCAAGUCAAUUAAUUUUUGUAGCAUCAUUCAAAUUUUAUCAAGAAGUUAAUUCUUUAAAUAGUCAUCAGUACAACAUAUGGUGUAGUAAACAUUGGUUUAUUAAAAUAAAAUCUUUCAUUCAAUCCAAAUGGCCAAUUUCAUUAUGUUUAUCAUUAAUUAUUUGUGUUUCAGCAUUUGAGAAGUUGAAGAAUUAUGUAUGUAAAUAAGUUUUAUGUAGAAAAUAAUUUUAUGGAAAAUAAUUUUCACUUCAGGCACAUUAAGUCAAUAACUCAGUUACAAGUUUGCCUAUUGUAUUUCACACAAUCAUAUAUUUUAUUUAACAGUCAUUAUAGAAAAGGUAUUUUUCAGAGGGUGUAUUCAUAUUAGGGUGAAAUGUAUCUAGUUGUCAUUUUAUAGCAAGAUUAGCAAUUUCAACAAUAUUGAAUCUAACGUACACAUUAGUUGUAUAUCAUUCUCAAUGAUUUGAAUGUGCUAUGGUUCUAUAUACAUGCAUUUCUACUUGAACUUUCUCCAGUAAACAUAGAUUAUUAAUUCAACAAAUAUAAAUUGCAAUCAAUGGAAUGAAGCUUUGAAAAUGGCAAAUUGCCAGAUGAGAGUUUUUGACAGAACCAUGUAAGUUUUAAGAGAUAAAAAAUCAUUUAUAAAAAUAAUACAUAAUAUUCACCCUCCCUGGAUAACAUAGCUUUGCUUUUUUUAAGUAAAUGUAAGAAAAAAAUUAUUAAAAUAUUUUAAGCAAAAGUAAGGAUAUAAGUAAAAGAAGACUGGGUCAAAAAGAAGAAGUUGUGGGUAGAAGAGAAAAAUGAAAAAAAUAUAUACUUUACCAAAAAGUUCAGAAUUAUCACUGAGCAUAUUUAUGCCUAAGUAUUACAUAUAAUCUAUGAUUAGAAUCAGGAAACAAUGUUAUGUCAGACUUCCUGUAUUCACAAAAAUAUACCAAUUGGAAGAGUGACCAUGAAGACAUUCUUUUCUAAUGAUAGCUAAAACUACGGCUGAAAUUGACAAAUAAUCUUUAAAGACAGAAGCUUUUUUAUUAAAUGUUUCAUCUCAACAUUGGUAAUGUUAUUUUCCACUGAAAGAAUGUUCAUUUGUUCAGUGCCGCUACAAAAUAUCAUGAAAAUUAAAGCUAUGAUGUAAUAUUUUGAGUUUUUUAGCACCCCUAAAUUCAGUUUGGAGAGUACAUGUGUAUCCAAAAAUGCUGUUCCCAUUUUUAAAUUUGUGUUUUUCUAACAUUCCUAUAGUUGUUUUGGUAGUGACAUUGAUUGGAAUUAUCUCCAAACUGUUUUUUGUUGUUAUUUCUAGCAAUAAUAAAGAUAUGAUUUG
rnacentral:lncRNA from 10 species